UACGAAGGGGGCUAGCGUUGCUCGGAAUUACUGGGCGUAAAGCGCGCGUAGGCGGAUCGUUAAGUCGGGGGUGAAAUCCUGGAGCUCAACUCCAGGACUGCCUUCGAUACUGGCGAUCUUGAGUCCGGGAGAGGUGAGUGGAACUCCGAGUGUAGAGGUGAAAUUCGUAGAUAUUCGGAAGAACACCAGUGGCGAAGGCGGCUCACUGGCCCGGUACUGACGCUGAGGUGCGAAAGCGUGGGGAGCAAACAGG
rnacentral:rRNA from 1 species